rnacentral:rRNA from 2 species
UUAAAUUGAAGAGUUUGAUCAUGGCUCAGAUUGAACGCUGGCGGCAGGCCUAACACAUGCAAGUCGAACGGUAACAGGAAGCAGCUUGCUGCUUCGCUGACGAGUGGCGGACGGGUGAGUAAUGUCUGGGAAACUGCCUGAUGGAGGGGGAUAACUACUGGAAACGGUAGCUAAUACCGCAUAACGUCGCAAGACCAAAGAGGGGGACCUUCGGGCCUCUUGCCAUCGGAUGUGCCCAGAUGGGAUUAGCUAGUAGGUGGGGUAACGGCUCACCUAGGCGACGAUCCCUAGCUGGUCUGAGAGGAUGACCAGCCACACUGGAACUGAGACACGGUCCAGACUCCUACGGGAGGCAGCAGUGGGGAAUAUUGCACAAUGGGCGCAAGCCUGAUGCAGCCAUGCCGCGUGUAUGAAGAAGGCCUUCGGGUUGUAAAGUACUUUCAGCGGGGAGGAAGGCGGUGAGGUUAAUAACCUCAUCGAUUGACGUUACCCGCAGAAGAAGCACCGGCUAACUCCGUGCCAGCAGCCGCGGUAAUACGGAGGGUGCAAGCGUUAAUCGGAAUUACUGGGCGUAAAGCGCACGCAGGCGGUCUGUCAAGUCGGAUGUGAAAUCCCCGGGCUCAACCUGGGAACUGCAUUCGAAACUGGCAGGCUAGAGUCUUGUAGAGGGGGGUAGAAUUCCAGGUGUAGCGGUGAAAUGCGUAGAGAUCUGGAGGAAUACCGGUGGCGAAGGCGGCCCCCUGGACAAAGACUGACGCUCAGGUGCGAAAGCGUGGGGAGCAAACAGGAUUAGAUACCCUGGUAGUCCACGCCGUAAACGAUGUCGACUUGGAGGUUGUGCCCUUGAGGCGUGGCUUCCGGAGCUAACGCGUUAAGUCGACCGCCUGGGGAGUACGGCCGCAAGGUUAAAACUCAAAUGAAUUGACGGGGGCCCGCACAAGCGGUGGAGCAUGUGGUUUAAUUCGAUGCAACGCGAAGAACCUUACCUACUCUUGACAUCCAGAGAACUUUCCAGAGAUGGAUUGGUGCCUUCGGGAACUCUGAGACAGGUGCUGCAUGGCUGUCGUCAGCUCGUGUUGUGAAAUGUUGGGUUAAGUCCCGCAACGAGCGCAACCCUUAUCCUUUGUUGCCAGCGGUCCGGCCGGGAACUCAAAGGAGACUGCCAGUGAUAAACUGGAGGAAGGUGGGGAUGACGUCAAGUCAUCAUGGCCCUUACGAGUAGGGCUACACACGUGCUACAAUGGCGCAUACAAAGAGAAGCGACCUCGCGAGAGCAAGCGGACCUCAUAAAGUGCGUCGUAGUCCGGAUUGGAGUCUGCAACUCGACUCCAUGAAGUCGGAAUCGCUAGUAAUCGUGGAUCAGAAUGCCACGGUGAAUACGUUCCCGGGCCUUGUACACACCGCCCGUCACACCAUGGGAGUGGGUUGCAAAAGAAGUAGGUAGCUUAACCUUCGGGAGGGCGCUUACCACUUUGUGAUUCAUGACUGGGGUGAAGUCGUAACAAGGUAACCGUAGGGGAACCUGCGGUUGGAUCACCUCCUUACCUUAAAGAA